rnacentral:rRNA from 1 species
CGCGCAGGCGGCUGGUCAAGUCCGAUGUGAAAUCUCCCGGCUUAACUGGGAAACUGCAUCGGAAACUGAUCGGCUUGAAGGUGGGAGAGGGUAGUGGAAUUCCCGGUGUAGUGGUGAAAUGCGUAGAUAUCGGGAGGAACACCAGUGGCGAAGGCGACUACCUGGCCCAUUCUUGACGCUGAGGCGCGAAAGCUAGGGAGCGAACG